GCGGAGCUCACUGCCAGUCAGUGACAUGCAGUAUCCACCAAGUGCAAUCUUGUUGAGCCGGCCACGAACUUAUCAAUCACCCCUGCCGUGGACCACUUCUACAAAGAAGGGAUCCGUAUCCUCCACGACUGCUGGACUAAUUUGUGGAUUGGAAUCUGAAGUAGUGUUAUGGCAUGUCUCUGGUUGCUCCUGCCACUGUGGCCUGCAGUCAACAAACAACACAGUGCUAAGUGGAACUGAACUGAGCAGAAGCUGAACAUUCCUGGACUGUUCUAUGAACUUUGUGGUUUUAUAUUUUAUAUUCUGUGUUUUUCACUCUUUUUGCCGUUUGUGUGAUUUGUUCUUUUUUUGUACAUUGGGGGUUUGAUGUUUUUCUUUGAAUGGGUUCCAUGGU